GACGAACGCUGGCGGCGUGCUUAACACAUGCAAGUCGAACGAUGAACCCGGAGCUUGCUCCGGCGGAUUAGUGGCGAACGGGUGAGUAACACGUGAGUAACCUGCCCUUGACUCUGGGAUAACUGCUAGAAAUGGUAGCUAAUACCGGAUACGACCCUCGGCGGCAUCGCCAGGGGGUGGAAAGAAUUUCGGUCAAGGAUGGACUCGCGGCCUAUCAGCUAGUUGGUGAGGUAACGGCUCACCAAGGCGACGACGGGUAGCCGGCCUGAGCGGGUGAGCGGGCACACUGGGACUGAGACACGGCCCAGAGUCCUACGGGAGGCAGCAGUGGGGAAUAUUGCACAAUGGGCGCAAGCCUGAUGCAGCAACGCCGCGUGAGGGAUGACGGCCUUCGGGUUGUAAACCUCUUUUAGUAGGGAAGAAGCGAAAGUGACGGUACCUGCGGAAAAAGCACCGGCUAACUACGUGCCAGCAGCCGCAGUAA
rnacentral:rRNA from 1 species